rnacentral:piRNA from 1 species
UACGUACCACCACACCUGGCUCUG